UACGUAGGGUGCGAGCGUUGUCCGGAAUUAUUGGGCGUAAAGGGCUCGUAGGCGGUCUGUUGCGUCGGGAGUGAAAACUCAGGGCUUAACCCUGAGCCUGCUUCCGAUACGGGCAGACUAGAGGUAUGCAGGGGAGAACGGAAUUCCUGGUGUAGCGGUGAAAUGCGCAGAUAUCAGGAGGAACACCGAUGGCGAAGGCAGGUCACGUGGGCCGCAACUGACGCUGAGGAGCGAAAGCAUGGGGAGCGAACAGG
rnacentral:rRNA from 1 species